UACGUAGGGUGCGAGCGUUAAUCGGAAUUACUGGGCGUAAAGCGGGUGCAGGUGGCUUUGUAAGUCAGGUGUGAAAUCCCAGGGCUCAACCUCGGAAGUGCAUUUGAUACUGCGAAGCUUGAGUGUGGGAGAGGUGAGUAGAAUUCCAGGUGUAGUGGUGAAAUACGUAGAUAUCUGGAGGAAUACCGGAGGCGAAGGCGGCUCACUGGCCCAACACUGACACUCAGACCCGAAAGCGUGGGGAUCAAACAGG
rnacentral:rRNA from 1 species